rnacentral:rRNA from 1 species
CGCCCGUCGCUCCUACCGAUUGGGUGUGCUGGUGAAGAGUUCGGAUUGGCGAUAUCUGGUGGCAACGCCGAAUGUCGCCGAGAAGUUCUUUAAACCCUCCCACCUAGAGGAAGGAGAAGUCGUAACAAGGUUUCC